CCGUAGGGAAUUUUCCGCCAUGGGGGGAAGUCUGACGGAGCACAUCCGCGUGAGUGAUGAAGGUCUUUGGAUCGUAAAACUCUGUUGUCAGGGAAGAACAAGUCUUCGAGUAACUGCCGGUACCGAGACGGUUCCUGACCGAAAAACCACCGGUAAACUCUUGCCAGCAGCCGCGGUAAUACGUAGGGGGCCAAGGUUUUCUGGAAUUAUUGGGGGUAAAGCGGGGGCAGGCGGUUCCUUAAGUUUGAAGGGAAAACCCCCGGGUCAACCGGGGAGGGUCCAUGGAAUCUGGGGAACUUGAGUUCAGAAGAGAAGAGGGGAAUUCCCAGGGUAGCGGGGAAAAGGGUAGAGAAGUGGAAGAACUCCAGUGGGGAAGGGCACUCUUUGGUCAUUAUCUGGCCAUGAGGCGUGAAAACGUGGGGAGCAAACCGGAUUAGAUACCCUGGUAGUCCCCCCCGUAAACGAAGAGUUAUUAGUGUUAGGGGGCUCCGCCCUUUAGUGCCGCAGCAAACGCA
rnacentral:rRNA from 1 species